GAUGAACGCUGGCGGCGUGCCUAAUACAUGCAAGUCGAGCGAACGGACGAGAAGCUUGCUUCUCUGAUGUUAGCGGCGGACGGGUGAGUAACACGUGGAUAACCUACCUAUAAGACUGGGAUAACUUCGGGAAACCGGAGCUAAUACCGGAUAAUAUUUUGAACCGCAUGGUUCAAAAGUGAAAGACGGUCUUGCUGUCACUUAUAGAUGGAUCCGCGCUGCAUUAGCUAGUUGGUAAGGUAACGGCUUACCAAGGCAACGAUGCAUAGCCGACCUGAGAGAGUGCCCGUCCCCACUGCACCUGAGACACGGUCAAGACUCCUCCGGGAGGCAGCAGUAGGGAUUGUGCCGUGAGGGGCGAAAGCCUGACGGAGCAACGCCGCGUGAGUGAUGAAGGUCUUCGGAUCGUAAAACUCUGUUAUUAGGGAAGAACAGAUGUGUAAGUAACUGUGCACAUCUUGACGGUACCUAAUCAGAAAGCCACGGCUAACUGCGU
rnacentral:rRNA from 1 species